GGCGGUUCUCAGGUGAUGUACCCUGGAAUCGGGCUCCCUCCUCUCUGGUUCCAGGUGCGUCAUCAGAGAACCACA
rfam:Myotis brandtii contig228489, whole genome shotgun sequence.